rnacentral:lncRNA from 1 species
GGUACAACCUGAACAAGGGGAAAUAGUACAAAAUCUAUUACAAGACAUAUUACAAAAAUUACAAGGAAUGGAGAAAAAUAUAGAAAAGCUGGAAAGCAAAAUUAGCCAUAUGGAAGAUGGCAAAAAAGAGCAAAAGAUAGACCUGCAAGAAUUUAAAGAGAUAACAAUUAGCCAAGAAAAAUAUGACAAAAAAGAUAAAGGAAAAGGGAUAGAAGUAACUACUCACCAAUCCAAAAAACUCAAACCUUUCAAUAUCCAACUUAGACCAGAGCAACACAUACCUAAAAGAACAG